CCUAGCUCUCACAAGCUAGGCUGUGUUAUGUCGUACCUUUGGUACU
rnacentral:ncRNA from 1 species